rnacentral:rRNA from 1 species
UACGUAGGUCAGCGAGCGUUGUUCGGAAUUACUGGGCGUAAAGAGUGUGUAGGCGGUGCUCUAAGUUCGGUGUGAAAUCUCCCGCUUAACUGGGAGGGUGCGCCGGAAACUGGAGUGCUCGAGCGUGGGAGAGGAAAGCGGAAUUCCUGGUGUAGCGGUGAAAUGCGUAGAUAUCAGGAGGAACACCUGCGGUGUAGACGGCUUUCUGGACCGUAACUGACGCUGAGGCACGAAAGCGUGGGGAGCAAACAGG